rnacentral:rRNA from 1 species
UACGUAGGUGGCAAGCGUUAUCCGGAAUUACUGGGCGUAAAGCGCACGCAGGCGGUCUUGUAAGUUUGACGUGAAAGCUCCCGGCUUAACUGGGAGAGGUCGUUGAAGACUGCAAGACUUGAGGAAAUGAGAGGGGUGUAGAAUUCCCGGUGUAGUGGUGGAAUGCGUAGAUAUUGGGAGGAACACCAGUGGCGAAGGCGGCUCGCUGGACCGGAACUGACGCUGAGGCGCGAAAGCGUGGGGAGCAAACAGG